GACAUAGGGAGGGAGAAAGGAGGCUCCAGGAAGAAUCGGAAUGAGAACUGAUGAAGACCUGAACUGCAGCAGGAGGAGAGAGAGUGGCGAGGACGUCUCACGUGUGCUGUCAUGUCAUUUAUUGGCACCACCUUCAACACAACUACUCAAGCCCAGUUGCUGAGCAUCAUCUGGAAUCCUUUCACCUUCCCAUGCACAAUCCUUGAGAUCUGGAGAUGCUACCUCCAAAACGCAACAAAAAAAUCUAACGACGACUCACUAUCUUCCCAUCUACUGUCCAGUUGUGUAUAUAUGCGUCUAUGGACCAGGUAGUGUGUCAAAGGUAUUUCUUAGCUGUAGGGUUGCAGCAAAAAAGUAUGGAAGCUAUUCAUUGCCCAUUAGGCAAUUAAAGAGUAAAGAUGUGGCCCCUGCCUACAUCUUUAAUCUCAUCUUCUGUCAUCUCCCCCUCUUUGCUCCUUUAGUCCCUGGAAAGUGGUAAGCUCUUUCCUGCCUUGGGGCCUUAGUAUUUGCUGUUAACUCUACCUGGAACAUUCUCCUUAUCUUUCCC
rnacentral:lncRNA from 1 species